UGGUGGGCCUAAGUGGAUUCGAACCACUGACCUUUCCCUUAUCAGGGGAAUGCUCUAAACCAACUGAGCUAUAGGCCC
rnacentral:tRNA from 1 species